UGGGGGAUAACGUAGGGAAACUUACGCUAAUACCGCAUACGACCUACGGGUGAAAGCAGGGGACCUUCGGNCCUUGCGCGAUUGAAUGAGCCGAUGUCGGAUUAGCUAGUUGGCGGGGUAAAGGCCCACCAAGGCGACGAUCCGUAGCUGGUCUGAGAGGAUGAUCAGCCACACUGGAACUGAGACACGGUCCAGACUCCUACGGGAGGCAGCAGUGGGGAAUAUUGGACAAUGGGCGCAAGCCUGAUCCAGCCAUACCGCGUGGGUGAAGAAGGCCUUCGGGUUGUAAAGCCCUUUUGUUGGGAAAGAAAUCCAGCCGGCUAAUACCUGGUUGGGAUGACGGUACCCAAAGAAUAAGCACCGGCUAACUUCGUGCCAGCAGCCGCGGUAAUACGAAGGGUGCAAGCGUUACUCGGAAUUACUGGGCGUAAAGCGUGCGUAGGUGGUUGUUUAAGUCUGUUGUGAAAGCCCUGGGCUCAACCUGGGAACUGCAGUGGAAACUGGACAACUAGAGUGUGGUAGAGGGUAGCGGAAUUCCCGGUGUAGCAGUGAAAUGCGUA
rnacentral:rRNA from 1 species